rnacentral:rRNA from 1 species
AUUGAACGCUGGCGGUAUGCCUAACACAUGCAAGUCGAACGAUGAAGCUGGAGCUUGCUCCGGUGGAUUAGUGGCGAACGGGUGAGUAACACGUGAGCAAUCUGCCCUUGACUCUGGGAUAACUGCGGGAAACUGUAGCUAAUACCGGAUACGAGGCUCGAAGGCAUCUUCGGGUCUGGAAAGAAUUUCGGUCAAGGAUGAGCUCGCGGCCUAUCAGCUUGUUGGUGAUGUAAUGGCUCACCAAGGCGACGACGGGUAGCCGGCCUGAGAGGGUAACCGGCCACGCUGGGAAUGAGACACGGCCCAGACUCCGACGGGAGGCAGAAGUGGGGAAUAUUGCACAAUGGGCGAAAGCCUGAUGCAGCAACGCCGCGUGAGGGAUGAAGGCCUUCGGGUUGUAAACCUCUUUUAGCAGGGAAGAAGCGAAAGUGACGGUACCUGCAGAAAAAGCACCGGCUAACUACGUGCCAGCCGCCGCGGUAA